UCAGGCCUAACACAUGCAAGUCGAGCGCGAAAGUCUUCGGAUGAGUAAAGCGGCGAACGGGUGAGUAAUGCAUGGGAAUCUGCCUGGUAGUGGGGGACAACGUCUCGAAAGGGACGCUAAUACCGCAUACGCCCUACGAGGGAAAGGGGGGGAUCUUCGGACCUCUCGCUAUCAGAUGAGCCCAUGUCAGAUUAGCUAGUUGGUGAGGUAAAGGCUCACCAAGGCGACGAUCUGUAACUGGUCUGAGAGGAUGAUCAGUCACACUGGAACUGAGACACGGUCCAGACUCCUACGGGAGGCAGCAGUGGGGAAUAUUGGACAAUGGGGGCAACCCUGAUCCAAAAAGGCCGCGUGUGUGAAGAAGGCCCUAGGG
rnacentral:rRNA from 1 species